ACUUAUGUGACAAGUUAAAAGCAUCCACAUCAACAAGUUUUAUUAAUUUGACCACAGUAGAGAACAAUUUGAUGCUGAUGAACAGAUAAAUGAAGAUACAGAAGCACCACUUCCAUCACUAACCCCAGCUUUAGCAUAAUUAGGCUCAACAGCAAGGAAGAGACAACGGAAUAUUUUCACGCCAUCAAAGUCUGGUUGUACACCACUACCAAAAAGAAAAGCAUCAACAAAAACCACAAAGAAGAAUAGGAGGAGGCUCCAGUUUACAUCUACAUGUAAAUCUCAAGAUGAGAAACCAAAACCACAAGUUACACAGUCACCUGGUCCUAAAGUUAAGGUAAUACUUCAACCCUUUUUUUUAUUUUCUAAAUAGAAUACAUGUAAUUCAAUAUUGUAUUUGAUAAUCCAUUUAUAUAUGUAUAUACUAGUGCUGUACUGUACAAUGCACAUGUGUGUGUUAAAAUCUGUUAUUAUAAUAUUAAGAAGAAUAUAUAUUCAUAUUCCCUUUUGAAAGGAUGAGUUUGAGGUAAUUGCAACAUUAUAGACCUUACACGACUGUACAUUUUAUAUAUUGAAUUCAAUAUGCAGGCUAGCUUCAAGAAUGUUUGUACAUGUACAUUUUGUUAAUACAUGUUAUACAUGUAUGUCCCUUCCACGAUUCAUUUAUUUCAUAUAUGCUUAAAGAUUGGUGUAUGAUUAGACUUGUUUCUGGUUAAUGUAGUGUACAUUUUGUAUAUGAAGCAAGGUUUAUAUUUGUGUUUCAAUUUCAGGUACAUUUACAGUUUAAGGGCAGUUCAAGAAAAACAGACUUGAAAGGACCUGGGAAAUUAGCAUGUCGUUCCAUUGUUCAAAAGUAAUACUCAACAGCACUAAAUCAUCUGUUGACGACAGGAGAUGCAAAAAAGGAACUUGUCAAUACUGUCAAGAAGAAUAUUUUACGAGAGGUACAGGCAUUGUGUAAAAACAAAGAAUCA
rnacentral:lncRNA from 1 species